UACGUAGGGAGCGAGCGUUAUCCGGAUUUAUUGGGCGUAAAGGGUGCGUAGACGGGAAAUUAAGUUAGUUGUGAAAUCCCACGGCUCAACUGUGGAACUGCAACUAAAACUGAUUUUCUUGAGUACUGGAGAGGAAAGUGGAAUUCCUAGUGUAGCGGUGAAAUGCGUAGAUAUUAGGAGGAACACCAGUGGCGAAGGCGACUUUCUGGACAGAAACUGACGUUGAGGCACGAAAGUGUGGGGAGCAAACAGG
rnacentral:rRNA from 1 species